GCGAACACUGUGGACUAAACAUUAAACAUGCAUUUUAAGCAAGUGGUUUAUGGCAGGGUACAUAAACAUUUAUUCAAAUGUGUGAGCAAAGUAUUUCAAAGUCUUUGUUCAAUUUUUUAUCUAUGUGUAGCGCCGGCAUUACACUUGAUACCUACACACACAUAUUUUAAGUAACCGUGUAUGUAGGUUUCUUAAGGCUUAAGGCCGUGCCACACUGCUGCGUGCUGCAAUGGGUGCGCAGCACGUGCACAGCAGCGCGGUGUGGCAUCUAUAAUGGGAUUUCAUACAUUACAACGCGCACGCCACGCACACGCUGCUGUGCACGUGCUGCACAAGCAUUCGGUUUGGCCCGGCCUUUCCCUGCUUAUCUAUGUAGGUAUUGCAGGUACUCGUACGCUUCCAGAAUCCUAGCAGCGCCACGCCAGGCUGGCAAUACCAAUACUUAAGUACCUACAUUUCUUGGUGGGUCAUUUGUUUAUGUCGUAGGCGGCGCCGCGGCUACUACUUUUAGAGGUACUUACCUAACUUCUGAAAAAUAAUAUCUAGGUAUUUAAUUUAUGUUUAAUAUCCUAAACCUCGGAAUUGAAACUAGUAGUUAUUACAAUGAAGGCUAAAUCUGUUGUAAAUUGGUACCUAGUUACUUACUGACGUAAAAGGAUAAGUUAAAUGAUGAAACUUGCUUUUAGAACAGCGGAUGACAAUCCAGGCGUUAUCGGCUCUGACUCGAGAGGACUUGAAGGACCUUAUUCCGCAGGCAGGACCAAGGGUGCUAUUUACAAGGUGUUGGCGUUCGUGGAAAAAUGAGUUUUUGCCAAUAAACGAUACUAGUAUACCAUCUUUUCGGUAAGUUUUUUAUGUGAUUUUGUUUGGGUACCUAAGUACCUAUUUGUAAAAUGUUAUAUUGACAACUUACCUAUUAGUUAGGUGGUAUCUAGAUAGGUACAGUCAGCAUCUUAUCCAGCGCAACCAUGCAACAGAUUGUUGGUUUGUUUUGACCUACUAGGUACCUACUUGGCGGUAGCUACCUACUUAGAUAUGUAGAAUAAGUAGGUAUCAAUAUGAGGAGGGAGGGAGGACUUUGCCCAGCAGUCGGGCAGAGACUGUGAGACUAGGAUUGUAUUAUUAGACUUAAGUCAAAUUAUUAUUAUGAAUUAUUGUUUUCAGGGCCUGGAUUUGUCAAACUUGCAGUUUGAUUGCUUGAGGGAAACUGACGAACUAUCUGAAUGUGUUGUAGAGGUAAUACCAUUAGACAACCCUGAGACAAAAGAAAAUACUGCAAGUACAACAAGUCAUCAACAAUUAGGAAAAGAAACUCAAACUGGGAUACUUGAAAAUUUAUUGAAACAAUCACUCGAAACUUCUUCACUUCUGAUUUAUAAAGGCGGUAGCUUAGAUGGAGAUGCUACUAGAAAUUUAUUAGCGUCUGUGAUUGCCAAAGAAAUAUUAAAUGAGAACAAAAAUUCACCAAUAGUUGGUCAAAUUUAUUUCAAGUGGACAAAAUUGAUAAGUGAACUCUUUCCGGGUGAAAGGACCACAACGUAUUAUAUCCCUGCAUGUACUACUGCGCCUGGCGCAGUUCUUCAAGCAAGAGGCAAACUCGUACAUCAGGUACUGAAGAAAAGGAGGCGCUUCCAACAAUUAGGAUCCUUGACAACAAAAAAAAGAAACAGAGAAGAAAGCCCAGGACCAUCUUCUUCAUCACCAAGACCAAUGCCAAGAAUAAAGAAUAAAUUUAUUGUCAUAAAAACCUUAGUUGGUAAACAACUAAGGUUUUUAUGACAAUAAACAACAUUAAGGUUGAGUCCUCCUAUUAGGUAUUAACAGGCGCGGAUACAAGAUUUGGCUUAGGGGGGGGGCCAUUUUGAGAAAAUCAUAUAUUUUUUCAAAAUUUACUCAAUUUAGUAAUGUGAG